rnacentral:other from 1 species
GCGGUGCUGCCCGGCACGUCAGGAGAGACGUAUCCCCGGGCCCUUAUCGAUCCUCAAGGGAGCUGUCCCUGAUCGGGCCCGUGGGCCCUUUCACACGGCGCCCACCUAGACUGCUAGGUGUCCCGGGAUCGAAAACCUCCAACGGCCGGCGCGGCCCGCC